GGCUGUGUGGUGUAGGGGUUUGGGUGUUGACUACAACUCUGGAGACCAGGGUUUGAAUCCCUGCUCAGUCA
rnacentral:tRNA from 1 species